GGGACACAUAAUUAGAAGACUAAAUAUGUUAUAAAUACCAUUUACAAUAACUCUGAAGAUUAUCAAACUCCCAAGUAAAAUUUCAAAGAAAUUUGCAAUUUGCAAUUUCUUUACAUGGCAAACAAUAAAAAAUUAUUGAUAGGAAUUAAUGAAGACAUGAAUAACUGGAAUGGUAUCCGAAGUUUAUUAACAGAAGAUUCUUUUUUUCAGGUGAUCAACUUUUCCACUUUGAAGCACAUGUGUGAACCCAAGUCAAGUCCCAGCAUAUCCAAUACUUUAGUAUGUUCUAUAAAGGCAUAAAUAAAAAAUUGGGCUAAGGGGGAGAAUGAAUACGAAGUUAGAUUCCAGUUCAAACAAAAGAAGGAAAAACCUACUGUUGAAUGUUAAGAACAGUUCUGAAAAUUGUGGCUUCCUGCCCCAAAAGUUCAAGUAGAAUCUGUAGAGUACCCUGGGUGAAGAUACUCUACGGGGAAAUUAAAGUGAUUUUGACAACACCUAAGUGGUCCUCUGCACUUGGCCAUGAUCCUAUCAUACAGUUACAACAUAAAGGCAGUCUUCUGAGAAUAACAAUCCUUCAUAAGGUAUUUAUACAUGUCACAAGAAAUGGCACAACAACUCAACAGGACAACGUUAUACUUUUAAUGCUUUCUUCUAUAUACUUAGCAUAUAAAAUUUAAGAGUCACUAGAAUCCUGACCCUUAUUGUCAUUUUUCUGCUGUCAUGGGAACAGAAACCCUUAAUAUAAGAUAAACCUCCUAAUAAACAUGGCAUUUAAUCCUCUUCUAGCGGAGUA
rnacentral:lncRNA from 1 species